rnacentral:ncRNA from 1 species
CCGAAAUGCCUGCCGACGAUGUCGGCGACAUGCCCAGGUAGCCACGAUCUUCAAGGCUACGGUGUGGUUUCGACCACGCUGAUCGAUCGGUUCGCUCCGCAUCCCUCGCGCGAACGCCCAUCACCCGUGAUGGAGGAUG